AACAACACAAACUUACCAACUCUACUCUCUCUCUCGGCUUUUUCUUUUUUUUUUCCCCCUCAACAGACGAACACACACAAAAGGAAGGAAAUCUCCCUCACCCUCUCGGCUCUAUCCCUCCCUUUUUUUCAAUUCACACAACACACCCACACACAACUCAAACACAAUAAAGCAAGCAACAAAGGAGUGAAGCUUGGGAGUUCCUUCAAAAAUUUGACCGAGAAGCUCUUGCUUGGAUUGAGGUAUUUUCCAUUUUUUU
rnacentral:lncRNA from 1 species